GACGAACCGUGCGAACGUUAUUCGGAAUCACUGGGCUUAAAGGGCGCGUAGGCGGGCGACCAAGUCAGGGGUGAAAUCGUUCGGCCCAACCGGACAAGGGCCCCUGAUACUGGUUGUCUCGAGGGAGGUAGGGGUCAAUGGAACUUCCGGUGGAGCGGUGAAAUGCGUAGAUAUCGGAAGGAACGCCGGUGGCGAAAGCGAUCGACUGGACCUCUUCUGACGCUGAGGCGCGAAAGCCAGGGGAGCAAACGGG
rnacentral:rRNA from 1 species